GAAUUGUUGGUGAUGUUCAAAUAUGCAUUCCUGAAAAAGCUGAACAAAAUCACUGAAGCCUAUGCUGUCAUUCUCAUUCAGCUGAGCUUC
ensembl:snoRNA SNORD116 Small nucleolar RNA SNORD116